rnacentral:rRNA from 1 species
GGGAAAGUUGCAAAGCACUUUGAAGAGAGAGUUAAAGAGGACGUGAAACCGAUGAGAUGGAAACGGAUAGAGCCAACGGAUCUGGCUUGUAUUCAGCUGACUCCCUGUUGCUCACUUCGUCGUUGGACCCGCUUCCGGCCAACUGCGAUUUGAUGUGGCAGUGGGACAGUGCAUUUGCAAGUGGAGUGCGCUGAGCGGUGCGACGCAGCGGUUCCAUACUCGUCCAGAGGCUCAUGCACAUGAGAACCUGAGCGGGGGCAAGACUGUUUGCGCUGCAUUGCAAUUGGGUGCCGGCCUACGGCUCUAGUGCUCCGUACGGCUCCCACUCGUAACGGUCGCAUGCGACACGUGCUUGUGAGUGUUGUAUUGUGCGCUAGGACACCGGCACCCUGCUCGGCGUUAGAGUUGGUCAUCUCUCCGACCCGUCUUGAAACACGGACCAAGGAGUUUAACGUAUGCGCGAGUCAUUGAGUGCCAAACUCAAAGGCGCAAUGAAAGUGAAUCUGAAUGCGAGCCUCGAGCUCUCGAGCUCGAGGCGCAGCAUAGCCCCGUCCCGAUCGCUUGCGAUGGGGCGGAGGCAGAGCGUAUGCGCUGAGACCCGAAAGAUGGUGAACUAUUCCUGAGCAGGACGAAGCCAGAGGAAACUCUGGUGGAAGUCCGAAGCGGUUCUGACGUGCAAAUCGAUCGUCUGACUUGGGUAUAGG